CGCGUAGGCGGUUAUGCGAGUGUGAUGUGAAAGCCCUGGGCUCAACCUAGGAAGUGCAUCGCAAACGGCAUGACUGGAGUAUUGGAGAGGGUAGCGGAAUUUCCGGUGUAGCGGUGAAAUGCGUAGAGAUCGGAAGGAACGUCAAUGGCGAAGGCAGCUACCUGGCCAAAUACUGACGCUGAGGCGCGAAAGCGUGGGGAGCAAACA
rnacentral:rRNA from 1 species